rnacentral:rRNA from 1 species
UGGGGAAUAUUGGACAAUGGGCGCAAGCCUGAUCCAGCGAUACCGCGUGUGUGAAGAAGGCCUGCGGGUUGUAAAGCACUUUCAGUGGGGAGGAAAUGGUUGUUGUUAAUACCAGCAACAGUUGACGCUACCCAAAGAAGAAGCACCGGCUAACUCUGUGCCAGCAGCCGCGGUAAUACAGAGGGUGCAAGCGUUAAUCGGAAUUACUGGGCGUAAAGGGUGCGUAGGUGGUUGUUCAAGUUGGGUGUGAAAUCCCCGGGCUUAACCUGGGAACUGCAUUCAAAACUAAGCGACUAGAGUAGGAUAGAGGGAAGUGGAAUUUCCGGUGUAGCGGUGAAAUGCGUAGAUAUCGGAAGGAACAUCAGUGGCGAAGGCGGCUUCCUGGAUCCAUACUGACACU